CCCUAUUAUUUUGGAAUGUUAAUUUUUGUGUCUGAGUAGUAUUAGUUAUGUUCUUGAAACUUAAAGAAUUUGGCGGUAUCUCAUUCCUUCCAGAGGAAUCUGUCUCGUUAUCGAUAGUCCACGUUGGACCUUACUUAGUUGCUUUGGUUUGUAUACCGCCGUUUAUUGAUCAUCCUUUUAGGGUUAUUAUAAUUUUCUGGUUUUUUUAUUAAAGUUUAUUUCAGGUCAAGGUGCAGCUUGUUUCUAAGUGAAUGAUGGAUUACAUUGUUAUUUGUUUUUAUUGGAUUGUUGAUUUAUAUAUCAGUAUGAAAUUGGAUUUGGUUGUAAUUUUUUGUAGACUGUUAUUGUGAUAGUGGUUCUGAGAUAUGUACACAUCGCCCGUCGCUCUCGUUUAAGAUUUUUAAUGAGAUAAGUC
rnacentral:rRNA from 1 species